AUAGUCUUCCCAAGGAUUCAAAAGUUCGAGGGGCAUGGAUAAUGUUUUUCUACCAGAAGAUCCCUGCAAAGUUUGACACUCCGUUAUUAAUUUGCAAAACAUUUCACCGAAGGCAGUUUUCAAAACCUUGUACAGUUAAGCAGGAUUUGCUAAGCUGCUGUUACUGAAACGAGGGGCUGUUCCGACCGUAAGGUCAUCACAACCGCAUGCUGUUUUAUCUAGCAGCCAUGCACUUCAAUGAGAAUGCGGAGUCCCCACAACAGAAGACAGCCAAGGAGAAACUAUGUACAGACUUGCCAAACAAUUUAUCAUCAAAGACCCUCUUCCUUAUUGGGAUGCCGUCCAGCGGAUUCCUGUGCCCCAGGACUUGUGUGCUCAGCUUGACAGACCUUCCAUGGAGGAUGCUGUUGCUGAACAUGCGUCACGGUUCAGUCGAAAAGGGGUCUGAAUCCAACGUACUGCCCUGAAGUAUCCGGAAGCUCCCUCCAUAUGCGUAGCACCACACACAAGGGGAUCAUGACACGGACGCUUCUUCUAAGGAAACCCCAGCUCCUGCUCACAAAAGAGCUGUAGGCCAAGUCACUUCAUUGCCUGCAACGAGAACAGGGUGGAAAAGCAAUUUUUUUUUACUAUUUAUUUUUUAAUACUUUACAUCAGAGUAUCACUGGACGAUUGUUGAAAAAAAAAAUAAAGUUUAU